rnacentral:rRNA from 1 species
UAGGGAAUCUUCGGCAAUGGGGGCAACCCUGACCGAGCAACGCCGCGUGAGUGAAGAAGGUUUUCGGAUCGUAAAGCUCUGUUGUAAGAGAAGAACGUGUGUGAGAGUGGAAAGUUCACACAGUGACGGUAACUUACCAGAAAGGGACGGCUAACUACGUGCCAGCAGCCGCGGUAAUACGUAGGUCCCGAGCGUUGUCCGGAUUUAUUGGGCGUAAAGCGAGCGCAGGCGGUUUAAUAAGUCUGAAGUUAAAGGCAGUGGCUUAACCAUUGUUCGCUUUGGAAACUGUUAAACUUGAGUGCAGAAGGGGAGAGUGGAAUUCCAUGUGUAGCGGUGAAAUGCGUAGAUAUAUGGAGGAACACCGGUGGCGAAAGCGGCACUCUGGUCUGUAACUGACGCUGAGGCUCGAAAGCGUGGGGAGCAAACAGG